rnacentral:rRNA from 1 species
GUUAGGAAUAUUGGACAAUGGGCGAAAGCCUGAUCCAGCCAUGCCGCGUGAACGAUGAAGGCCUUCGGGUUGUAAAGUUCUUUAGCCGAUGAUUAUAAUGACUGUAGUCGGAAAAUAAGCCCCGGUUAACUUCGUGCCAGCAGCCGCGGUAAUAAGAAGGGGGCGAGCGUUAUUCGGAAUCACUGGGCGUAAAGCGUGCGUAGGCGGUUUUGUAAGUUAGGAGUGAAAGCCCAGGGCUCAACCUUGGAAUUGCUCUUAAAACUGCAAGGCUCGAAUCUCGGAGAGGAUAGCGGAAUUUCCAGUGUAGCAGUGAAAUGCGUAGAUAUUGGAAGGAACACCAGUGGCGUAAGCGGCUAUCUGGACGAGUAUUGACGCUGAGGCACGAAAGCGUGGGGAUCAAACAGGAUUAGAAACCCCGGUAGUCC